UUUCACGACAGCCCUGGCUGUCCUCUUUGCUUCGUACUAUGUCUUCAAUAUAGAAUAUCCAGCUGAGGCAGCCACGUCUUUGGAGUUUAUCCAGAGAUUCUUUGUCAGGAUAAAUCCAGAAUACAGCAAGUGUACGGCAAAGACGCAGGUGAGCCGAAGGACGGGAAAGAUGGUCCAGAGGAAGAGCGAGUCCCUCAACUCCCACGUUGGUUCCUUCAUAAGAGACUUUAUCGAUUACGACUGGAAGAACUGAACUGAUCCAGGAAGAAGAGUUCCGGCCACGCCAGUGGGUAAGAGACCAGGCUACCCCCUGAUGUGUGUGCACCUGAGUUGCCAGCUAUGAUCAAAGCCAUCUGAACAGGCAUGUUAUU